AAGUAAUCGCAGCUGUAAGUGCCGAAAGGCAGCAGGUGAGGAAAGUCCGGGCUUCACAGGGCAGGAUGCCGGAUAACGUCCGGUGGAGGCGACUCCAAGGAAAGUGCAACAGAAAUGAACCGCCCGUGCAGAAGACUCCUUCUGCACAGGUAAGGGUGGAAGGGCAGUGUAAGAGACUACCGCCUUGCUGGUAACAGCAGGGGCAUAUGUAAACCCCAUCCGAAGCAAGACCGGAUAAAGACAAUGUGGCGGCCCGUCACGUCUUAGGUAGGUCGCUGGAACCCAUCGGCAACGGUGGGUCUAGAUAGAUGAUUACUCAACGACAUAACCCGGCUUAUCGUCUUGCUUG
rnacentral:RNase_P_RNA from 1 species